rnacentral:rRNA from 1 species
UGAACAACUCUCAGCAACGGAUAUCUCGGCUCUUGCAUCGAUGAAGAACGCAGCGAAAUGCGAUAAGUGGUGUGAAUUGCAGAAUCCCGUGAACCAUCGAGUCUUUGAACGCAAGUUGCGCCCAAGGCCAUCAGGCCAAGGGCACGCCUGCCUGGGCAUUGCGA